rnacentral:rRNA from 2 species
UACGUAGGGGGCGAGCGUUGUCCGGAAUUACUGGGCGUAAAGGGUGCGUAGGCGGCCGAUUAAGUUGGAUGUGAAAUACCCGGGCUUAACCUGGGGGGUGCAUCCAAUACUGGUUGGCUAGAGUGCAGGAGAGGGAAGCGGAAUUCCUAGUGUAGCGGUGAAAUGCGUAGAUAUUAGGAGGAACACCAGUGGCGAAGGCGGCUUUCUGGACUGUAACUGACGCUGAUGCACGAAAGCGUGGGGAGCAAACAGG